GGUCACAUAGCUCAAUGGAUAGAGCAACUGCCUUCUAAGCAGUAGGUUGCAGGUUCGACUCCUGCUGUGAUCA
rnacentral:tRNA from 1 species